rnacentral:rRNA from 1 species
AGAGUUUGAUCAUGGCUCAGGAUGAACGCUGGCGGCGUGCCUAACACAUGCAAGUCGAACGAAGCAUUCCAGAAGAGGUCUUCGGAAGGAUUUUGGGAUGACUUAGUGGCGGACGGGUGAGUAACGCGUGGGCAACCUGCCCUGCACAGGGGGAUAACAGCCGGAAACGGCUGCUAAUACCGCAUAAGCGCACGGAACCGCAUGGUUCUGUGUGAAAAACUCCGGUGGUGCAGGAUGGGCCCGCGUUGGAUUAGGUAGUUGGUGGGGCAACGGCCUACCAAGCCGACGAUCCAUAGCCGGCCUGAGAGGGUGGACGGCCACAUUGGGACUGAGACACGGCCCAAACUCCUACGGGAGGCAGCAGUGGGGGAUAUUGCACAAUGGGCGCAAGCCUGAUGCAGCGACGCCGCGUGAGCGAAGAAGUAUUUCGGUAUGUAAAGCUCUAUCAGCAGGGAAGAAAUGACGGUACCUGACUAAGAAGCUCCGGCUAAAUACGUGCCAGCAGCCGCGGUAAUACGUAUGGAGCAAGCGUUAUCCGGAUUUACUGGGUGUAAAGGGAGCGCAGACGGGACAGCAAGUCUGAUGUGAAAGGCGGGGGCUCAACCCCUGGACUGCAUUGGAAACUGUUGACCUUGAGUGCCGGAGAGGUAAGCGGAAUUCCUAGUGUAGCGGUGAAAUGCGUAGAUAUUAGGAGGAACACCAGUGGCGAAGGCGGCUUACUGGACGGCAACUGACGUUGAGGCUCGAAAGCGUGGGGAGCAAACAGGAUUAGAUACCCUGGUAGUCCACGCCGUAAACGA